UACGGAGGGAGCUAGCGUUGUUCGGAAUUACUGGGCGUAAAGCGCACGUAGGCGGCGAUUCAAGUCAGAGGUGAAAGCCCGGGGCUCAACCCCGGAACUGCCCUUGAAACUAGAUUGCUAGAAUCUUGGAGAGGUCAGUGGAAUUCCGAGUGUAGAGGUGAAAUUCGUAGAUAUUCGGAAGAACACCAGUGGCGAAGGCGACUGACUGGACAAGUAUUGACGCUGAGGUGCGAAAGCGUGGGGAGCAAACAGG
rnacentral:rRNA from 1 species